rnacentral:rRNA from 1 species
UACGUAGGGUGCGAGCGUUAAUCGGAAUUACUGGGCGUAAAGCGUGCGCAGGCGGUUCGUUAAGUUCGUUGUGAAAGCCCCGGGCUCAACCUGGGAACUGCAAUGGAAACUGGCGGACUUGAAUGCGGCAGAGGGGGGUGGAAUUCCGCGUGUAGCAGUGAAAUGCGUAGAGAUGCGGAGGAACACCGAUGGCGAAGGCAGCCCCCUGGGCCGACAUUGACGCUCAGGCACGAAAGCGUGGGGAGCAAACAGG